rnacentral:rRNA from 1 species
UACGGAGGGUGCGAGCGUUGUCCGGAAUCAUUGGGCGUAAAGGGCGCGUAGGUGGCCCGGUCAGUUCGUGGUGAAAGCGCGGGGCUCAACCCUGCGUCGGCCAUGAAUACUGCCGCGGCUGGAGCACUGUAGAGGCAGGCGGAAUUCCGGGUGUAGCGGUGGAAUGCGUAGAGAUGCGGAAGAACACCGGUGGCGAAGGCGGUCUGCUGGGCAGUAGCUGACACUGAGGCGCGACAGCGUGGGGAGCAAACAGG